CGCGAUAGUUUACAUGCAUAUAUAUACGAAGAACCUAACCCCGGGAAAAACCCUAGGGAGCCACCUUAAGCAAAUAAUACAUCAAUAUUUAAAACAAUUAAACUAACCUUAGGUUCUACGAUUUCCAGGAUUGUCCCUGAUUUUUUUGUUAUUUUGUAAAAACAAUAAACGGUUUGGCUGUUUAAUUGGCUGUUUAAUUUUCGGGUUUCUGAAUGUUUUUAACUUUUGUCUCGCAAAUCGUACUCUUUGCCUCCUGAGAUUCGCCAUAUCUUUGAGAUCAGUAAGAGGUCCACGGACGCAUGACCAUAGAGAUUAUAAAUAACACUAGAGGAGGCAUCGAGGUUAAAAAUUGGGAACGCAGCUAAUAGGGACAAAUUCAAGUCCCAGAUAUAAAAUCUUGCUCUCAUUGGCUGAUUUGAAACUCGUCACCAAUCGAAACAUGAAUAAACAUCCGGGACUUGAAUUUGCCCCCUCCCCCUCAAUAGACGCGUUCCCUUUUUUUUUAACUGAAUUAAGAUUACAAUGCCUCCUCUAGUGUUAGUUAUAAUCUCUAUGCGCAUGACACCAUGCAUGAAACAAAGCUACGUACCCGCGAUUAUUGACAAACUGUAGAUUGCGUCGCUAUUACUUUCCUAUCUUUAUAUUACGUUACUCAAACAUUUUACAUUCCAAUUAUAAACUUUAGUUUGGGUAAGUCAAGGUCGUUAUUUUCAAGAUCUACUAGCUCAAGUCAAAACAUAGAAGUUUUUGUGCAGUGUCUACUCGAGGUAAACCCCUACUGUGGGUGAUUACUUUGAGUAAUACUUAUAUCAU